ensembl:snRNA U5 U5 spliceosomal RNA
UGACUCUGGUUUCUCUUCAUUACGCACAAGCCUUUCGCCUUUUACUAAAGACUUCCGUGGAGAGGAACACUUACGAGUUCAACGUAUUUUUGGAGGCGGCUUUGCUUCUUGCAGAGCC